CUUGCAAACCAAAGCUGGCGACCGGCGCACGGGUGAGUAACACGUAUCCAACCUGCCUCAUACUCGGGGAUAGCCUUUCGAAAGAAAGAUUAAUAUCCGAUAGCAUAUAUUUCCCGCAUGGGUUUUAUAUUAAAGAAAUUCGGUAUGAGAUGGGGAUGCGUUCCAUUAGUUUGUUGGGGGGGUAACGGCCCACCAAGACUACGAUGGAUAGGGGUUCUGAGAGGAAGGUCCCCCACAUUGGAACUGAGACACGGUCCAAACUCCUACGGGAGGCAGCAUG
rnacentral:rRNA from 1 species